rnacentral:rRNA from 1 species
ACGUAGGGUGCGAGCGUUAAUCGGAAUUACUGGGCGUAAAGCGUGCGCAGGCGGUUUUGUAAGUCAGAUGUGAAAUCCCCGGGCUUAACCUGGGAACUGCGUUUGAAACUACAAGGCUAGAGUGUGGCAGAGGGGGGUGGAAUUCCGCGUGUAGCAGUGAAAUGCGUAGAUAUGCGGAGGAACACCGAUGGCGAAGGCAAUCCCCUGGGCCUGCACUGACGCUCAUGCACGAAAGCGUGGGGAGCAAACAGGA